AUUCACUUAGCACUCAUACUUAGAAAUCGUUAUUUUGAAAGUACCAUUGUAGAACUUAAUAACACCACUAUAAUGGACUAUCUAAACGUUGUGUAAUUUUUACAUUCGUUCGUCCUAUGUUCAGUAAAAAAUCUUUGCAUCAUUGACUUGGAAAAUGAAAAGCUCAUCCAUGCUUCUCUUCCCUUUCUCAUAGACUCUUGUUUGCCCUUUCCAUUAUUUUUAAAUGUUUAUUUAUUAA